GGACACUGCUCAGUGGUGAAGAUUCUGCUUGACGUGCAGAAGGCGCCAGGUUCAAUCCCGGCCAUCUCUA
rnacentral:tRNA from 1 species